CAGCAGCCGCGGGAAUACGUAGGGUGCAAGCGUUAAUCGGAAUUACUGGGCGUAAAGCGUGCGCAGGCGGUUCUAUAAGACAGAUGUGAAAUCCCCGGGCUCAACCUGGGAACUGCAUUUGUGACUGUAGAGCUGGAGUGCGGCAGAGGGGGAUGGAAUUCCGCGUGUAGCAGUGAAAUGCGUAGAUAUGCGGAGGAACACCGAUGGCGAAGGCAAUCCCCUGGGCCUGCACUGACGCUCAUGCACGAAAGCGUGGGGAGCAAACAGGACUAGAUACCCCCGUAGUCCCUGUCUCUUAUAC
rnacentral:rRNA from 1 species